UUGGAGAAGUCCGGAGAGAUACCAUCUGCGAUCGAAAGCCGGAGGAGUCCUGGAAGGGUCAAUCCUGUCAAGAACUUUGGCUGAGGGUAUUUUAUACCCAACACCAGUCCCCCUACUUCCGAGUUUGAAUUUCGAAUGAAGGAAGUACAUUGAGAUUGUCACAGUCGAAGUUGCUCCCUUGAUGUCCGCACGUAGUCAUCCUCAGA
rnacentral:lncRNA from 1 species